GAUGAAGAACGUAACGAAAUGCGAUAAGUAAUGUGAAUUGCAGAAUUCAGUGAAUCAUCGAAUCUUUGAACGCACAUUGCGCCCCCCAGUAUUCUGGCGGGCAUGCCUGUUCGAGCGUCAUUUCAACCAUCAAGCCCUGCUUGUGUUGGGGUCCUGCGGCUGCCCGCAGGCCCUGAAAACCAGUGGCGGGCUCGCUAGUCACACCGAGCGCAGUAGCACAUCUCGCUCAGGGCGUGCGGCGGGCUCCAGCCGUUAAAGCACCCACCUUUCGCAAGGUUGACCUCGGAUCAGGUAGGAAUACCCGCUGAACUUAAGCAUAUCAAUAAGCGGAGGA
rnacentral:misc_RNA from 1 species